rnacentral:tRNA from 1 species
AUCUUUUUAGUAUAGUGAUAGUGCAGGUGACUUCCAAUCACCCAGCCUUGGUUUGAACCCAAGAAAAGAUA